GACGAACGCUGGCGGCGUGCCUAAUACAUGCAAGUAGAACGCUGAAGGAGGAGCUUGCUUCUCUGGAUGAGUUGCGAACGGGUGAGUAACGCGUAGGUAACCUGCCUGGUAGCGGGGGAUAACUAUUGGAAACGAUAGCUAAUACCGCAUAAGAGUAGAUGUUGCAUGACAUUUGCUUAAAAGGUGCAAUUGCAUCACUACCAGAUGGACCUGCGUUGUAUUAGCUAGUUGGUGGGGUAACGGCUCACCAAGGCGACGAUACAUAGCCGACCUGAGAGGGUGAUCGGCCACGCUGGGACUGAGACACGGCCCAGACUCCUACGGGAGGCAGCAGUAGGGAAUCUUCGGCAAUGGACGGAAGUCUGACCGAGCAACGCCGCGUGAGUGAAGAAGGUUUUCGGAUCGUAAAGCUCUGUUGUAAGAGAAGAACGAGUGUGAGAGUGGAAAGUUCACACUGUGACGGUAUCUUACCAGAAAGGGACGGCUAACUACGUG
rnacentral:rRNA from 1 species